rnacentral:rRNA from 1 species
AUUGAACGCUGGCGGCAUGCUUUACACAUGCAAGUCGAACGGCAGCACAGGGAGCUUGCUCCUGGGUGGCGAGUGGCGAACGGGUGAGUAAUGUAUCGGAACGUGCCUGGUAGUGGGGGAUAACUACUCGAAAGAGUGGCUAAUACCGCAUGAGAUCUUUGGAUGAAAGCGGGGGACCUUCGGGCCUCGUGCUCCUGGAGCGGCCGAUAUCAGAUUAGGUUGUUGGUGGGGUAAAGGCCUACCAAGCCUGCGAUCUGUAGCUGGUCUGAGAGGACGACCAGCCACACUGGGACUGAGACACGGCCCAGACUCCUACGGGAGGCAGCAGUGGGGAAUUUUGGACAAUGGGCGCAAGCCUGAUCCAGCAAUGCCGCGUGCAGGACGAAGGCCUUCGGGUUGUAAACUGCUUUUGUACAGAACGAAAAGUCUCUGGCUAAUAUCUAGAGAUCAUGACGGUACUGGAAGAAUAAGCACCGGCUAACUACGUG